rnacentral:rRNA from 1 species
AGGGGGUGCGAGCGUUAAUCGGAAUUACUGGGCGUAAAGCGCGCGUAGGUGGUUCGUUAAGUUGGAUGUGAAAUCCCCGGGCUCAACCUGGGAACUGCAUUCAAAACUGUCGAGCUAGAGUAUGGUAGAGGGUGGUGGAAUUUCCUGUGUAGCGGUGAAAUGCGUAGAUAUAGGAAGGAACACCAGUGGCGAAGGCGACCACCUGGACUGACACUGACACUGAGGUGCGAAAGCGUGGAGCAAACAGGAUUAGAUACCCUGGUAGUCCACGCCGUAAACGAUGUCAACUAGCCGUUGGGAGCCUUGAGCUCUUAGUGGCGCASUAACGCAUUAAGUUGACCGCCUGGGGAGUUCGGCCGCAAGGUU